rnacentral:rRNA from 1 species
UCAAGAAACUUCCACAAUGGGCGAAAGCCUGAUGGAGCGACGUCGCGUGAUGGACGAAGUGCUUCGGCACGUAAACAUCUUUUAUGUGGGAUGAAAUUAUUGACAGUACCACAUGAAUAAGGGGCUCCUAACUCUGUGCCAGCAGGAGCGGUAAUACAGAGGCCCCAAGCGUUAUCCGGAAUCACUGGGCGUAAAGGGUGUCGAGGCGGUUGUAUUAGUCGUUCGUAAAAUCUACGAGCUUAACUUGUAGGCGGCGAACGAAACGGUACGACUUGAGGUUUGGAGAGGUGCGUGGAACUCACGGUGUAGGGGUGAAAUCCGUUGAUAUCGUGGGGAACACCAAAGGCGAAGGCAGCGCACUGGCCAAAAUCUGACGCUCACACACGAAAGCUAGGGUAGCGAAGAGGAUUAGAUACCCGGGUAGUCCCUGAGCGGGCUGGCAAGGCGCAU